CAGCAGCCGCGGGAAUACGUAGGUGGCAAGCGUUGUCCGGAAUUAUUGGGCGUAAAGCGAGCGCAGGCGGUUAGAUAAGUCUGAAGUUAAAGGCUGUGGCUUAACCAUAGUACGCUUUGGAAACUGUUUAACUUGAGUGCAGAAGGGGAGAGUGGAAUUCCAUGUGUAGCGGUGAAAUGCGUAGAUAUAUGGAGGAACACCGGUGGCGAAAGCGGCUCUCUGGUCUGUAACUGACGCUGAGGCUCGAAAGCGUGGGGAGCAAACAGGAUUAGAUACCCCUGUAGUCCCUGUCUCUUAUACA
rnacentral:rRNA from 1 species